rnacentral:rRNA from 1 species
AGAGUUUGAUCCUGGCUCAGAUUGAACGCUGGCGGCAUGCUUUACACAUGCAAGUCGGACGGCAGCACAGAGAAGCUUGCUUCUUGGGUGGCGAGUGGCGAACGGGUGAGUAACAUAUCGGAACGUACCGAGUAGUGGGGGAUAACUGAUCGAAAGAUCAGCUAAUACCGCAUACGUCUUGAGAGGGAAAGCAGGGGGACCUUCGGGCCUUGCGCUAUUCGAGCGGCCGAUAUCUGAUUAGCUAGUUGGUGGGGUAAAGGCCUACCAAGGCGACGAUCAGUAGCGGGUCUGAGAGGAUGAUCCGCCACACUGGGACUGAGACACGGCCCAGACUCCUACGGGAGGCAGCAGUGGGGAAUUUUGGACAAUGGGCGCAAGCCUGAUCCAGCCAUGCCGCGUGUCUGAAGAAGGCCUUCGGGUUGUAAAGGACUUUUGUCAGGGAAGAAAAGGCUGUUGCUAAUAUCAGCGGCUGAUGACGGUACCUGAAGAAUAAGCACCGGCUAACUACGUGCCAGCAGCCGCGGUAAUACGUAGGGUGCGAGCGUUAAUCGGAAUUACUGGGCGUAAAGCGGGCGCAGACGGUUACUUAAGCAGGAUGUGAAAUCCCCGGGCUCAACCCGGGAACUGCGUUCUGAACUGGGUGACUCGAGUGUGUCAGAGGGAGGUAGAAUUCCACGUGUAGCAGUGAAAUGCGUAGAGAUGUGGAGGAAUACCGAUGGCGAAGGCAGCCUCCUGGGACAACACUGACGUUCAUGCCCGAAAGCGUGGGUAGCAAACAGGAUUAGAUACCCUGGUAGUCCACGCCCUAAACGAUGUCAAUUAGCUGUUGGGCAACUUGAUUGCUUAGUAGCGUAGCUAACGCGUGAAAUUGACCGCCUGGGGAGUACGGUCGCAAGAUUAAAACUCAAAGGAAUUGACGGGGACCCGCACAAGCGGUGGAUGAUGUGGAUUAAUUCGAUGCAACGCGAAGAACCUUACCUGGUCUUGACAUGUACGGAAUCCUCCAGAGACGGAGGAGUGCCUUCGGGAGCCGUAACACAGGUGCUGCAUGGCUGUCGUCAGCUCGUGUCGUGAGAUGUUGGGUUAAGUCCCGCAACGAGCGCAACCCUUGUCAUUAGUUGCCAUCAUUCAGUUGGGCACUCUAAUGAGACUGCCGGUGACAAGCCGGAGGAAGGUGGGGAUGACGUCAAGUCCUCAUGGCCCUUAUGACCAGGGCUUCACACGUCAUACAAUGGUCGGUACAGAGGGUAGCCAAGCCGCGAGGCGGAGCCAAUCUCACAAAACCGAUCGUAGUCCGGAUUGCACUCUGCAACUCGAGUGCAUGAAGUCGGAAUCGCUAGUAAUCGCAGGUCAGCAUACUGCGGUGAAUACGUUCCCGGGUCUUGUACACACCGCCCGUCACACCAUGGGAGUGGGGGAUACCAGAAGUAGGUAGGGUAACCGCAAGGAGUCCGCUUACCACGGUAUGCUUCAUGACUGGGGUGAAGUCGUAACAAGGUAGCCGUAGGGGAACCUGCGGCUGGAUCACCU